AGUUGUUGUAGUGCUCUCUUUCUAAUUUAUUAUGUGUACUAUAUACUAAUACACUCAUCAAAUUUCAGGAUUUGGGGUUUGACGGGAAGGAGAAGGGGGAGGUUGUGGAGGCCUCAGCCUUGCCUGCUCGCGUAGGAGAAUUCACAGUCACUGGAUGUUGACAAUAGUAACAAUGUUGUGCUUGUCUCGGCUGCUGAGGAGAGGAGGUGAUUCCAAGAAUGAGUGCACUACCACUAUUGGCUUCAAGUGGAUGCUUAAUCAGGCGAUGACUAAAACAUGCAGUAUAGAUAAUUUAAUUGGAUAUCAUUUUUCAUUUUAUUUUCACUCAGUUCUAGUCCAUUCACAACUAGGUAUAGAUGUGCUCGGAGCAGUUUUAAACCAAGGUUUUGUUCUGGUCUGGGGCUCAACCACCCAUCCACCAGUUUGAUUUGGUGUGGGUUGUGAGUAUUUGUAGGUGGAUUAGACUGGUUCGGUGAGGUAGCUAUGCAUUUAUGGAUUUAGGUUGGUUUAGUUUGGAUCUAAGCCCAUUAGCAGCUCUCAUUUUGUGCUGACAGGUUGCCAAAUUACAAUUUAAAGUACCUGAUUAGCUAAUUUGCUAUGUACUAUGACAUUUAAGUAUUUAACGUAUCAAUAAGAAAUUGGUUGUUUUAUUAGUUAGUAGUACUUGGAUUGAUUCACAUGCAACAUUAAUACCAUCAUGUUUAAUGUUCUGUAAUUUCCUGCCAUCAUGUCUGAAAUAGAAAAUAAUCUUCAUGGGGCUUUUAGAUCGUCAAACAAAGUUUGGAAACAAGAACUCCAGUCUGGUGCCUCACAUUUGAUAUUGUUGUUUUAACUGCUACUACUUACGUUUGUGUCUGAUACUACUUCCUUAACUGGGGUGGAAUAUGAGAAUAUUGUGUCCAAUGACAAUAACUUGCAAGUUGCUGGUGUUGGCAAAUAUUAUGUAGUAGCAUCUUUUGCUUAGAUAUGUACUUUUGAGUAUGGUUAUGAGGAUUUUUAUGGGUCCGAUUUUGCUUUUCAUGUUAUAAUUCUAUUAGUCUUCCUGUUUGCAUGAGAGUAAAGCAGUUGUUGCCUCCAAGAACCAUAUGCUACCUGGUCAAGAAAGAUGAGAGCGGGUGGUGGCCAAGGCUGCUGAAAAAGGAGGGCAAGGCACCUGUGUUCUUGAAGAUUAUUUUACCAAGUAUGCCGAUUGAAAGGUUACACUUUUUUGUUUCGUUCAUGUGAGGUCUGCAACAGAAAAAACACGUGUAUUUUUUGGCUGAUUCUAUUUUUCUUUAGUUGCUACCAUACUGUUUAUUUUAGCUUGAAGCUACAUAUAAUUCAUAUUACAGUUAAUGACUUUGGGAUAUGGAACGAAACAAAAAAGUAUGCCGAUUGAAGAUUAUUGAACGAAAUCAAUAGGGAUAUGGAACUGGUCAUUGAGAAAUAUCACCAAGUAUGUCGAUUGAAAGGUUAUAUAGCUCCCUAUUGAUUUAAUCUUCCCUUCAUUUCAGUUUUUCCCCUUUAAUAUUUUGUUACACUUUUUUGUUUCGUUCAUGUGAGGUCUGCAACAGAAAAAACACGUGUAUUUUUUUGGUUGAUUCUAUUUUUCUUUAGUUGCUACCAUACUGUUUAUUUUAGCUUGAAGCUACAUAUAAUUCAUAUUACCAGCAUGGGUGAGUUUGCCUCCACGAGUCGUCCCUAGCGCAGCCACAACGUGAAGGCUGAUCCCGCUUCCAGAGCCUCUUGUAUUGAGCAUGUGCUGAAGUACAGAACUGGUCAUUGAGAAAUAUCACCAAGUAUGCCGAUUGAAAGGUUCUGUCUUUGUGAUCAUAUGGAAACCUCAAAUCUUCGCUUCCCACUGUAUCAAAUUCCUUGGGAUCCUUAUGAUGCAAAAAGAAGCUUAUUCUCCUAAGAUAUGUGAGAUGGCCAAGUUCUUGGGCAAAGACAUUUGUUUGCUUGAAGACAUCAACACCUUCUAACUGCUUCAAUGCCAUCAUGCUUCUGAUCCCAGCUG